rnacentral:misc_RNA from 1 species
CGACCUUUUGUUUUCUUUAUCCUUUUUUUUCCAGGAAAAUAGAAUUAUAUCAAAAUGAAAGGGUAUUCCAAGAUCAAAAUCUUUAAUCGCUCUGCCAGAUCAAGAUCCAUGGACCUCUCAGAUCCUUUAACUUCUCUUGAACCCAAAAAUGCCAAUUCUCACUCAGACACAGACAUAAAGCCCCAAGAAAAAAUAACCAGCCAGCUGCAGAGCUUCAAGAACCUCAAGAACAACAACACUAGUACCAAAACC